GACGUAGGGCGCAAGCGUUGUCCGGAUUUAUUGGGCGUAAAGAGCUCGUAGGCGGCUUGUUGCGUCGACCGUGAAAACCCGUGGCUCAACUGCGGGCUUGCGGUCGAUACGGGCGGGCUAGAGUUCGGUAGGGGAGACUGGAAUUCCUGGUGUAGCGGUGAAAUGCGCAGAUAUCAGGAAGAACACCCGUGGCUAAGGCGGCUCUCUAGUACGGUACUGACGCUGAGACGCGAAAGCGUGGGGAGCGAACAGG
rnacentral:rRNA from 1 species